UGAGCAUGCGCAUAUAUUUAAAACUAACUGCGCAUGCGCAGAAUACGGAAGUAGCUGUGUUUGGACACUUUGUAUUAGCAGUGAGGAAAUUCGGAAACACAAAAAGCAAAUGCAAGUUCAGAUACCACUGAAAGUGAACAUCAGUGGAACUUUGAUGAUCUAGGCCACUCUAUUGUUGCAGCAACACCAGCAGGCGUCGGACAUUCAUAAAGUUGAAAGAACAAACCUAUGACUUGAACACACAAUUUGUGAUCUGAAUAUAGUUCACAAAUUUAAGGAAAGCAACUAUUAAAGACAUCCAGAUCAACGGUAUACAUGAAGUAUGAGUUAAAGACUUUUCAGAAAAACAAGCACAAUCCCGAUUCAUUCUUGCCAUUGCCUUCUCCAGACGGCGACAUUCAGGACCUGACUUACUUUUCAGAAAAAGAAGAUGAAUCGAUUUUUGAAAGUUGAUCUAAAAAAGAUAACAUUUACAUGGGUCGUGGAUUUGAAUUACAUUUUCUUGAUGGGCAACUAGUUUCAAGUAUUUGGAUGUCUAUUCUCAAGUUGCUGCAAACCUUAAAUUAACUUCUUGAUUAUUAGUUAAAUGUGAGACAGUGUCUUACUUGAAGUAAUCAAUGUUUGAAUUGAGCUAUGUAAUCUCUGAUUACUUAUGUUUAUGAGUAGUGUUCAGCUUUAAGACAAAAGGAUCUUUUAUGAACAUUGCAUUCGGCAUGGCGAAUUUCUAUACAUUAACAGUCAUAGUUUUCUUCUUUUUUAAUUAGCGAUCUCAUUUUAAAUGUGAGAAAUAAUUAUUAA